UACACUAUGACUACAUAAUAAUUCUGUAUUUUAUGUAGUUCGCUCCACUUUGAAUUCCCUCUGUCUCACUACAGAUUAUGGAGACAAUUCACAAAGAGGAAGAUGCAAAUGUUCUCCUGGAAACCAUGGUGCUGAGAAACAGAGAAGAGGAAGAAUAUAUACACAGACGCCUUGAAAGACUCUUCAGUUCCUCAUAGUCACAGCACUGAUCUUUUUGCUCUCUGCCCUAACUUUUACUGAUGAUACCAAUGGAGGAUUUUUUUCAGGGAAAAAGG
rnacentral:lncRNA from 1 species